AAUUCUCAACCCCUCUCGAUUUGCUUCGAAAGGGUGCUUGGAUAGUGGGGGCUGCCGGAGAUCUGGACUUCUCGUCUAGGACUCGGGCUCCCCUGAAAUGAAUGGGCUUGCGGUCGACUUUCGACUAUGCAUGACAAGGCUUUUGGCGUGAUAAUGAUCGCCGCUCGCCGAAGUGCAUGAAUGAACGGUCCCGUGCCUCUAAUGCGUCGAUGCCUUCUGGCGUCUUCCUUAUUGAC
rnacentral:misc_RNA from 1 species